GUGCCAGCCGCCGCGGUAAUACCGGCAGCCGGAGGGAUGACCGAACUUAUUGGGCCUAAAGCGUACGUAGCUGGCUACGCAAGUCCGUCGGGAAAUCCACUCGCCCAACGAGUGGGCGUCCGACGGAAACUGCAUAGCUUGGGACCGGAAGGCUCGAAGGGUACGUGCGGGGUAGGAGUGAAAUCCCAUAAUCCCGCACGGACCACCGAUGGCGAAAGCACUUCGAGAAAACGGAUCCGACAGUGAGGGACGCAAGCCAGGGUCUCCAACCGGAGUAGAUACCCCGGUAGUCC
rnacentral:rRNA from 1 species